rnacentral:tRNA from 1 species
GCCUUCGUGGUGUAGUGGUCAGCACGCUGGGCGCGUAUUCCAGAGGUCCGUGGUUCGAGUCUCGCGAAAGGCG